AAGUCGUAACAAGGUUUCCGUAGGUGAACCUGCGGAAGGAUCAUUAAUGAGUUUUUUAAAGUAAACUUGAUGCUGGCCGGUCUCUGGACUUGCAUGUGCUCAGUUUGCGCUCAUCCAUCUCACACCUGUGCACUUACUGAAGAGAGAGAGGGAGAGGGAGAGUGGUUUAUUCGUUUAUUCGUGUAUUCAACUCAAAGUCUUCAAUCUCUCUUUUGACUUUAUAAUAAACAACUAUAUUGUUUGUGUAGAAUGCAUUAGCCUCAUUGUAGGUGAAAUAACUAUACAA
rnacentral:misc_RNA from 1 species